rnacentral:tRNA from 1 species
GGAAGGAUGGCCUAGUGGAUAGGGCACUGGUCUAGGAUUCAGAAGAACUGGGUUCAAUUCCUAGCUCAGCCA